CCAACGUCUCUCAUCCAGUCUCUCUGUUUAAUUAGCCAACCCCUUCCCAAACCCUAAUCAUUCCUUCAGAGAUCAGCCGCCUCUCUUUCCCCUUCGUCUCUCUUUUCUCUCCUCCUCUCACCAGCUGCUAAGGAGGACCACUUGGUUUGCUGUUCCGAAGAAGGCUCAAGUUCAAAGAACUAGGUUACCCCCUUGCCGUAUGCUGAAGUUUGCUGCCGCUAGAGCCUAGCGGGGCCUAACUAAUUAGUCAGCCUAAUAUGAGAGUCCAAUUUUCUUUCCCUUCAUUUGAAGCGAUUAUUAUUGUUAUCUUAUUUAUGUAUAUAUACUAACAUUGAUAUUGGAUGCUUACCUAUUUUUACUUUAACCAUUUAGGAAGACUUUAGGCCAAUCAAACUAAUAAAGUAACUGUGACCUGAAGGGUAAUCGCUCUAAUAUUCAUAACAUUUUUUGGAAAUUGAAUGCCCUUUUAUACUAA